rnacentral:lncRNA from 1 species
CUGCCGCCUCCUUAGGUGGAGGGCAGAAAUUAUCCUGCUCUGAAGAAUUCCUGACCCGAAUCAGCACAGAACUUACAGACGAAGCACUGUUUAUUGCUCGCUCCCGUUUGAGUCCUCUGCCCAAUAAGGAAAAGAACACAAAAGACCAAGGGACUCAGAUAUCUAGACAUGUGUUCUUCACUAAGACCCGAGGCACUGACACCCGGUGAGUGAGGCUCUGUCCUUCUCCCAGGAGCCUGUGGGGAGAGAGCAAGGGUUGACAGCAUCCCAGCAGGGUAGGGGGAAGUUUUCAACCAUGAAGUUCUAUUCUAUUCCCUCCUGAUGCUCCAGUUCCUGAUUCUCAGCCUAUUCUGUUGUCUUCUGUCAUCUCCAGCUCUGACAAAAAUCGAACCCGAACCAAGGCACACCUUCUGCCAUCUCCUCGUGAAAAGGUUUGUAUGAGGUUAUUCAAUUCCAACAUUUCCAGCUUCCCCUGUGUGCCGUUCCAUGUGUUAGGAGUUAGAUGAUUGGGGGGACAGAAUGCACGGUAGAGACUCAGCCCUAUAAGAAUUCAGGGGGUUGUUUGUUUGUUUGUUUUUGUUUGUUUGAGGUAGUGUCUCCCUAUGUAGCAUGGUUGCCCUGGAAUUUGCCAUGUAGACCAGCCUGGCCUUGACAUCACAAAGAUAAACCUGCCUCUGCCUCCCCAGUACUAGGAUUAAAGGUGCUCACCACCAUGUCCAGCAGAAUUCAGUUUAGAAUGAGACCAGGACAAAUUAAU